GAUGAACGCUAGCGGCAGGCUUAAUACAUGCAAGUCGAGGGGCAGCAUGACUGUAGCAAUACAGUUGAUGGCGACCGGCAAACGGGUGCGGAACACGUACAGAACCUUCCUUCGAGCGGGGAAUAGCCCAGAGAAAUUUGGAUUAAUACCCCAUAGUACAACGGAGUGGCAUCACUUUGUUGUUAAAGAUUUAUCACUUGAAGAUGGCUGUGCGGCUGAUUAGGUAGUUGGCGGGGUAACGGCCCACCAAGCCUGCGAUCAGUAACUGGUGUGAGAGCACGACCAGUCACACGGGCACUGAGACACGGGCCCGACUCCUACGGGAGGCAGCAGUAAGGAAUAUUGGUCAAUGGACGAAAGUCUGAACCAGCCAUGCCGCGUGAAGGAUGACGGCCCUCUGAGUUGUAAACUUCUUUUGGAUGGGGCGAAAAAACGGGAUUUAUCCUGGACUGACGGUACCAUCAGAAUAAGCACCGGCUAACUCCGUGCCAGCAGCCG
rnacentral:rRNA from 1 species